rnacentral:miRNA from 1 species
CAAAACAUUUUUCUUUCCAUUUCUGAUAAACAUCAGGCUGUUUCUGUGUUUAGAAAAAAAAAUGUUUU